ACCGCCUCCUCCACCCACCGCCCCCGCUCUGUGUGAGGAGCCCCAUUUUACAGGCCAGGAUGCCGAGGCUCAGAGCAGAGGCACCCUCAGUUGCGUGAUCCCCUCCACAGUCUCUCUCUGUCUCCCUCCUUUUCCUGCCUGUCAGAGAGGAGAGACAAAGCGAGGCUGCAGAGAGAUGAAAGGACUUGCCCAGAGUCACACAGCAGCCAAUGGAGGAGCCAGACUUGAACCCUCGGCCCGCGCUGCACGCGAUGGGGGACUGGUGAAGAGUGUGGACUGAGAUGUGGACACACCUCGGUUUGGAGUUCCAGCUCUGCCAUUUCCUGGUGAUGUGAUCUUGGACAAGCAUCUUAACCUCACCGAGCCUCAGUUUUCUCAUCUGUGAAGUGGGGAUAAUUUUCUUAGGGUUAUUGUGACAUUGCAAUGACAUAGUACAAGUAAAAAAAUGUUUAGCACAGUGUUUGA